AGAGUUUGAUCAUGGCUCAGAACGAACGCUGGCGGCGUGCCUAACACAUGCAAGUCGCACGCAGUUAAGGGGGCAACUCCUUGAUUGAGUGGCGCACGGGUGAGUAACACGUAGGUAACCUGCCCUUCACUGGGGAAUAACCUGUCGAAAGACGGGCUAAUUCCGCAUACGUCCAAGACUGCUCCGGCAGAUUUGGGGAAAGGCGGCCCGCAAGGGCUGUCGGUGAUGGAUGGGCCUGCGUACCAUUAGCUAGUUGGUAGGGUAAUGGCCUACCAAGGCUACGAUGGUUAGCUGGUCUGAGAGGAUGAUCAGCCACACUGGAACUGACACACGGUCCAGACUCCUACGGGAGGCAGCAGUGGGGAAUAUUGCGCAAUGGGCGAAAGCCUGACGCAGCAACGCCGCGUGAGGGAUGAAGGUUCUCGGAUUGUAAACCUCUGUCGGGGGGGACAAAACCUAUGCUGGCUAAUAUCCAGCAUAAUUGAUGGUACCCCCAAAGGAAGCACCGGCUAACUCCGUGCCAGCAGCCGCGGUAAUACGGAGGGUGCAAGCGUUGUUCGGAAUUAUUGGGCGUAAAGCGCACGUAGGUGGCUUUAGAAGUCCGGUGUGAAAUCCCUCGGCUUAACCGAGGAAGUGCGCCGGANACCAUAAAGCUAGAGUAUCGGAGGGGAGAGUGGAAUUCCCAGUGUAGAGGUGAAAUUCGUAGAUAUUGGGAGGAAUACCGGUGGCGAAAGCGACUCUCUGGACGAUUACUGACACUAAAGUGCGAAAGCGUGGGUAGCAAACAGGAUUAGAUACCCUGGUAGUCCACGCCGUAACGAUGGGUACUAGUGUCACGGGAUUUGACCCCUGUGGUGCCGUCGCUAACGCAUUAAGUACCCCGCCUGGGAAGUACGGCCGCAAGGUUGAAACUCAAAGGAAUUGACGGGGCCGCACAAGCGNGGAGCAUGUGGUUCAAUUCGACGCACGCGAGGANNUACUAGCUUGACAUGUAGAGAUCCGAUGAAAGUCGGGAGUGCCGCAAGGGAGCUCUAACANAG
rnacentral:rRNA from 1 species